rnacentral:rRNA from 1 species
AAUAUUGCACAAUGGGGGAAACCCUGAUGCAGCAACGCCGCGUGAGUGACGAAGGCCUUCGGGUUNUAAAGCUCUGUCUUCACUGANGAACAAAUGACGGUAAGUGAGGAGGAAGCCACGGCUAACUACGUGCCAGCAGCCGCGGUAAUACGUAGGUGGCAAGCGUUGUCCGGAAUUAUUGGGCGUAAAGGAUGCGUAGGCGGUCUUUUAAGUGAGAUGUGAAAUACCUUGGCUUAACUCAGGGAGUGCAUUCCAAACUGGGAGACUAGAGUGCAGGAGAGGAAAGUGGAAUUCCCAGUGUAGCGGUGAAAUGCGUAGAGAUUGGGAGGAACACCAGUGGCGAAGGCGACUUUCUGGACUGUAACAGACGCUGAGGCAUGAAAGCGUGGGGAGCAAACAGG